AGCUUGUUGGUGAGGUAUCGGCUCACCAAGGCGACGACGGGUAGCCGGCCUGAGAGGGCGACCGGCCACACUGGGACUGAGACACGGCCCAGACUCCUACGGGAGGCAGCAGUGGGGAAUAUUGCACAAUGGGCGAAAGCCUGAUGCAGCGACGCCGCGUGAGGGAUGACGGCCUUCGGGUUGUAAACCUCUUUCAGCAGGGAAGAAGCGAAAGUGACGGUACCUGCAGAAGAAGCGCCGGCUAACUACGUGCCAGCAGCCGCGGUAAUACGUAGGGCGCAAGCGUUGUCCGGAAUUAUUGGGCGUAAAGAGCUCGUAGGCGGCUUGUCGCGUCGAUUGUGAAAGCCCGGGGCUUAACUCCGGGUCUGCAGUCGAUACGGGCAGGCUAGAGUGUGGUAGGGGAGAUCGGAAUUCCUGGUGUAGCGGUGAAAUGCGCAGAUAUCAGGAGGAACACCGGUGGCGAAGGCGGAUCUCUGGGCCAUUACUGACGCUGAGGAGCGAAAGCGUGGGGAGCGAACAGGAUUAGAUACCCUGGUAGUCCACGCCGUAAACGGUGGGCACUAGGUGUUGGCGACAUUCCACGUCGUCGGUGCCGCAGCUAACGCAUUAAGUGCCCC
rnacentral:rRNA from 1 species